AAAUUAUGAAAUACCCAUGAGAAAUAUCAAACACAAAUGCAAUACAGAAAUGGAUAAGUUAAGACUUGACCAUUGUACAAAAAAUACUGACUGGGUCAUGAGGUCAGAAAAGAAGAAGAAAAAAGCAGGUCAAGAAGAACUGACAAAAAGAAUUGCAAAAUAAUUAGUAAUUAAUGUGAAGAUUAAUUUUUAGUCAAUUCUGCAAGACAGACUUUUCAGGAAAGGAGGUGGAAUAAAAAUGAGCUCCUAAAUCUUAAUCCUGGAUUCUGGAAGAUAUAUUCCUCAAACCAUCGAACAAGAGGAGGUGGUGCUGGUCCUUCACGAGUCACUCUAAUCUGUGCAUAAAGCCUAUAUAUAAAGACUUAAUAUAUAGUAUUUCACAAUACUUCAUGGUAUUCUAAUUAAAUCAUUUUUUGGAAUCUUAAGUCUCUCAGAGUCCGACACCGAGUAAUUCUGGAGACUCCAGGAAAGUGGCAGUUCUGUAAAAUGUUGGCGCUGGAGACUAAAUGCACCCUGAUAGUUUCACACCUAAUUCACUUAACACACACACACACACACACACACACACACACAUUACCCACAGUGACAGUGGGACUGAGUGACAUUAGAUGUAUGAUAGUUUUUUUUUAAUUUUCUAUCAUCCAUAUAGUGUUGUAUAGUCAUGAAACUAUGGUCAUGAGACCAGUCAUUCUGAGGAAAUAUGCCUCAGAAUGACUGGUCUUCUAUGUGUACAUUUUUUUUUUUUUUUUAAAGUGUUUAGAAGCUGCACUUUAAAAAAAUAAAAAGACAUUUACUGGUUCCUUUUUUACUAUUAUUUCAAAAAACAUCACGGCAAAACCAUUCAAGCUAUCCAAAAUUCAUUCACACCUAUUCUGUAAGAUUAAUUCUUUAAACAGUGGUAAAAGAGGAUGUGGUGCUGAUCCUUCAAGAGUCACUCAAAACGUAUCUGUCCAUAAAGCCUAUAAAGAAUUAUUCUUAAUAUACAGUUCAAAAUACUUCAGCUUGUUAUUCUAAUUAAGUGAGGGUCAUUUUAUCAGUAAAAUAUAUACAAUUCAUUUUUUUUGAAAGAUUUCUAUAAAUGAUUUAAAUCAUACUCGUUUCUACAAUAAUUAUUUAAAAGUAAUCCUAUAGCUCCCUCUGGUGGCCAUUAUAGGUACUAAGAAUUGCAAGCUUGAUUUAUAAGUUAUGAUAGUUUUAAUUUUAUGCUGGCUCUUGAAAAUGAUAAAGCUAUGAAACUUACUGUGCUUCCUUCAAAUGAGGACUUCUACUUAUAUAAAAAAUUAUGAAGAGUUAGCAUGAAAAAUUUUAAAGAUAUAGUAAAAUAACUAUUGUAUUUUUUAUGUUACUUUAAUAAAUCUCUAUGGCAACACCAUUUAAGCUAUCCUAAACCCAUUCACAAUUUAACAUCUCAGUAUAUAGGCAUAAUGUUGAAAAAGGAGUAUGGAGUAGUAUGAGUAGGAGUAUGAAUUCAUUUGCAGGCUUUAUCAUAAAUCCACAAUAAAAUUUCUGAGUUCUGUAUCAA